ensembl:lncRNA
AUCUGGAGAUCACCCUUCUUGGAGCCCAGGACAAGGAACAAAAAUGCUGUGUUAGAUGAAAACCAUCUGGUGUCAACAAAAACCAUCCCUGUGGUCAAGCAACAGCUUGGGACAAGUGGAUGUUGUUUGAAAAGUCACUGGGCCAGAAGCAGGGUUGAUUCCAGCCUCUGAAACGGGCACGAAUUCUUCUCUCGUAAUAAGAAAGGUGCCACCCAAACGUGCAGAGUCCCGCUUGUCUCAAGGGAGAGAAGGCAAACCCCAGGUUGGUGCAGCCCCAAGUGCCCAGCCAAGACAGAAGAGCUUUCUUCUCACUGCUUUGAAUGCUGCUGUGGAGUACUGUGAUGUUUCCUGGGAGUGGCUCUCAGGAGACCGCAAGCUUUAAAUCCCCCGUUGCCUCCAUCUCUGCCAAAGCCCCCGUGUGCUCCUGGGCUUUUUUGCUCAGCUGAGUUUUCACAAAGGUUUGGCUCAAUUCCCUGCAAACCAGCCUUCCCCCAGGCAUCCACCAGGCCUUAGGGAGAGGCUCUGCUUCGUUUCUUCACACCACGCCUUUUAAUCUACAGCCAGAGCAGGAACCAAAGUGGAAAAACACAGCAAUUGCACAGGGGCCGCUGCAGCAGGUGCCUGCGGGAGCCUGUUCCUAUGAGCCCUCGGGCACUGGGAUUUGCAGAUUUAGGCAAUUCCGGGCUCUUGGAUGCUCUUUGUGGAGAAGUUUGUGAACGUGGGAGUGUUUGUGUGAACUCCAACCCUUCCUCAGAGCUGGGCUGUCAGUCAGCAGCGCUGGCAUCAAAUGUGCAUCCCCACAUCAAAGCCCUGCUGACUUCCGAUGAAGGGAAACAAGGGAAAACAGAUUCUUGGUGCGUGUUGUUUAUUUUAACGUGUUUUUAGUGUUUGAUUGAUUUCUUUUCCAGCAGUAAGCCUGAGGGGGGAUGGUUUGCUUUAUCAGGAAAUGAGGAUAAACUUACCCAAGUAAGCUCAGGCUAUGCAGGCAGGUGCUGUCUCCAUGCUAACUGUCCCCAAGCAAAGGCUGAGGCUGGGGUCAAGCCCUAGGGCUGCACUCUGCUGCCAUCACAGAGACAUAGAAUACCCUGAGUGGAAAGGGAGCCAUAAGGAUCACAAAGUCCAACCCCUGGCUCCAUACAGAACCAGCCAAAGCUCAGACCCUAUCUGAGAGCAGUGUCCAAAAGCUUCCUGAGCUCCAGCAGCUCAGUGCCGUGACCACUGACCUGUUCCACACCUACCGCCCUCCCUCUGAAGAGCCCUUUCCCAGUAGCCAACCUGAGACCUCCCUACGCAGCUCCACGCCAUUCCCUCAGGUCCCAUCAUUGCCACCAGAGAGCAGAGAUCAGCGCUGCCCCACAUUAUGAAAAGCACAGCCUAUACCCUGCCUUUAUGGAGAAAGAAGGCAGAGCUGCUUGCUCUGUGUGUUUGAAACUGGAGCAUUAUUGAAUGGCUCACAGAGCAUCUGCAGUCCCUCCACGCUGUUACAGCUCCUCUUUGUUCAUGAACCAUUUACACAUCACUUCUGAUUCCUGUAGACAUUUACAACCAUUAGUUCCAAUAUAAAAUAAUCAGCUUCUGUGAUCCCACAAUGGGGCUGUCCUGUACAAUGCAGGGCAAAAACUGAAAUGUGAGGGCAUUAUAGCAGUGCCAGCCCUUUCUGAAUAGCAGGAGGAAAACAACCCAGAGGCUCUAUAUCUGAUUUCCCUUCCAUGAGGAUCCAGGUGCAUAUUUUCUGCACAUCUCAGUGUCCCAGCAGCAUUACUCACUGCUCCUGUUGGCAUCACAGGCAGCUGAGAGCAGUGGCUCCCAUGCCCUUGUCGCUCAGCUGCUGUUGAGGUUCAGAGUCACAGUUAAGCACAGAGCCUCUAAUUAGUCACAAAAAGU